rnacentral:snoRNA from 1 species
UACCAUGAUGACUAGCUGUCGCCCCAGACGGAGGCUCCUUUUCAGGACUAUGACCGAUUCGACAUAACACACUGAAAAUGCUGAAA